rnacentral:rRNA from 1 species
AUUGAACGCUGGCGGCAGGCCUAACACAUGCAAGUCGAACGAGGGGCGGACGGGUGAGUAAUGUCUGGGAAACUGCCUGAUGGAGGGGGCUAACUACUGGAAACGGUAGCUAAUACCGAAUACAAUCGGAUGUGGCAAGAUGGGAUUAGCUAGUAGGGUGUGUAACGGCUCACCUAGGCGAAGAUCCCUAGCUGGUCUGCGAGGAUGAACAGCCACACUGGAACGGAGACACGGUCCAGACUCCUACGGGAGGCAGCAGUGGGGAAUAUUGCACAAUGGGCGCAAGCCUGAUGCAGCCAUGCCGCGUGUGUGAAGAAGGCCUUCGGGUUGUAAAGCACUUUCAGCGGGGAGGCGUUACCCGCAGAAGAAGCACCGGCUAACUCCGUGCCAGCAGCCGCGGUAAUAC